UGGGGAAUCUUGCACAAUGGGGGAAACCCUGAUGCAGCGACGCCGCGUGUGCGAUGAAGCCCUUCGGGGUGUAAAGCUCUUUCGGCAGGGCCGAAAGUGACGGUACCUGCAGAAGCAGCUGCGGCUAACUACGUGCCAGCAGCGGCGGUAAUACGUCGGCAGCGAGCGUUGUUCGGCGUUACUGGGCGUAAAGGGUGUGUAGGCGGUUCUCUAAGUUUGGUGUGAAAUCUCCCGGCUUAACCGGGAGGGGGCGCCGAAAACUGGGGAGUUAGAGUGCGGGAAGGGAGAGUGGAAUUCCUGGUGCAGCGGUGAAAUGCGUAGAUAUCAGGAGGAACACCAGUGCUGUAGACGGCUCUCUGGACCGUAACUGACGCUGAGACACGAAAGCGUGGGUAGCAAACA
rnacentral:rRNA from 1 species